rnacentral:rRNA from 17 species
UGCAUUGCAGUGAGACUGUGGGGGAUAAGCUCCAUUGUCAAGAGGGAAACAGCCCAGAGCACCAGUUAAGGCCCCUAAAUAAUUGCUAAGUGAUAAAGGAGGUGGGAGUGCGAAGACAAUCAGGAGGUUUGCUUAGAAGCAGCAAUCCUUUAAAGAGUGCGUAAUAGCUCACUGAUCGAGUAAACCUGCGCCGAAAAUGUACGGGACUAAGUAAUUUGCCGAAACUGUGCGAUAUAUUUGAAAUAUAUCGGUAGGGGAGCGUUCUGUUGUAGGUUGAAGUAUUAGCGGAAGCGGAUAUGGACGAAGCAGAAGUGAGAAUGUCGGCUUGAGUAACGAAAAUAUAGGUGAGAAUCCUAUACCCCGAAAACCCAAGGUUUCCUCCGGAAGGCUCGUCCGCGGAGGGUAAGUCAGGACCUAAGGCGAGGCUGAAAAGCGUAGUCGAUGGGAAACGGGUUAAUAUUCCCGUACUUGGGUGUACUGCGAUGGGGGGACGGAGAAGGCUAGGCCAUCCGGGCGUUGGUUGUCCCGGUUCAAGCAGGUAGGCUGAGAUCUUAGGAAAAUCCGGGAUCUUAAGGCUGAGAUGCGAUGACGGUGAGACUACGGUCUCCGAAGUGGUUGAUGCCCAGCUUCCAGGAAAAGCCUCUAAGCUUCAGGUACCCCGAAACCGUACCCGAAACCGACACAGGUGGUCAGGUAGAGAAUA